rnacentral:lncRNA from 1 species
CUAACAGAAAAACUGAGCAAUACAAAAUAAUAGUUCUGCUUUGGAUCAGACUGAAAAUUCUGUUUAGACAAUUCCAGGCGUUAAGUGCUGCAACAAUAGAGCUUAAUGUGUAACCUGGUUUUAUACUUUUCCUGUGUCAGCAGUUGGCAAAAGGAUACUGUCAAUAAGGAUCGCUGCGAGAGAGGUGAGAAAAGAACAAGACAAAGAGAACAGGUGACUGUGUCUGCAUAUGGCUAUCUUCUUUCUUCUCCUAGUAGUAAUAUGUGCUUGUUCCUAGAUGUGGCUGGUUCACCAGCUACGGCCUCUGCUGGACAGAGAUGAUCCAGCCACAGUAAUUCAUACUCUGGUAACUUCCAGAUUGGACUACUGUAAUAUGAUCUGUGUGGGGCUGCCCUUGAAGAUGAUUCAGAAGCUGCAACUGGUACAGAAUGCAGCAGCUAAACUGGUAACUGGCACAGCUAUCUGAACGCACAUCACACUGCUCUGAAAAGAGCUGCAUGGGGUACCAGUUUGCUACUGUGCCCAAUACAAGGUGUUAACUUUAACCUAUAAGGCUAAAUGGCUUGGGUGUCAAGUAUCUAAAGGAACACUGUCUUCCAUAUUGACCUGCCCAUGCCUUAAGAUCUGCAGGGGAGGCUUUCUUGGUUAUACCCCAGCUUCACUAAUGAAAGGGAUGGGGUCUUGGGCCUUUUUGGUGGAAAGCUCCAUACUAUGGAAUAACCUACCACUGAGGUGCACCAGGCACCUUCACUACUAACAUCCAGAAGAUCAGUGAAGAUGCACUUAUUUGCCCUGACGUUUGCCUAAGGAAACAUCUUCCCCUUCACACUUUCA